rnacentral:lncRNA from 1 species
GCACAGAAUAUUGCAAGAGUACGCCACAGAGCUACUUUCUGAGUCAUAGUUUCAUUUUAAAAUGUGAAUGGCAAAUGCCUGGAGGGGCUGUGCAGGUGAAGUAACACCUGUGGAAUGGCAACAAAUAAGCAUUAAUUCCCAUACCCCAGUGACAUUUUCAAGUCCCCCUUUCUCUAGUUCUUAAGUCAGAAUGCUAAAGGUGACUGUUGCUCAUAUGAAGGGUCCAGAGACAGGAAUAAAAAUGUCCUGGGUGAUGUCACCUGAACUCUGUUCUCUUCCAAUCGAGUCUUCCCACCUCUAGUCCUGAGUGAGCCCCAGCUUUUGUGGUUCGCCAGUGCCCACAGGGUGUUCUGAGAAUCGGUCUUAGCCCCUACUGGCUAACUUUAAAUUGUGGCUUCAGGGAACUCAGCUUUCUCUGGGCUCCUCUUGGCCUAUCUCAGCCCACUGUAGAAUUAGACAGUCCCUUCAUCACUUUCUUUAUCCAUAUUGCUAAAGGCAGUCUCCUUGUCUUAUUGUGUGGGCUUUGAUAGGGAAGACAGGAGGCAGUAGAGAGAACUAACAGGGGAUGUGAACUCAGUAGAUGGAGAGAGUGGGUACAACGAUCAUGCCCAGUUUCCCAGUAGAGUCCUUCGUCCCAGGCAGAUAGAAUAGUAGGUAUCCUGUUUCCCUGCAGAACGCCUUUGCAUUUUUGAGAUGGGUAGUACCCAGGUCACUUGGCAUAAUCCCUUUUUGAGAAAUUUCUCUUCCUCAGGAACAAUUCAAUUCCACAGAUGCCCAAAUAAUUCAGCAUUCCCUCCCACUUUGUUGUUUUUGUUUUGAGACAGGAUCUUACUAUGGAGACCAGGCUGGCCUCCAACUUGGAGAUCCACCUGCUUUUGUAUCCAGAGUGGUGCAAUCAAAGGUUCAAAGAUGGAGUCUUAUUCUAAGACCAGACUGGCCUGGAAUUCACUCUGUAAUACGGGUUGGCCUUGAAAUGAUGGCAAUUCUGCUGACUCAGCCUUUCAAGUACUGAGAUUUCAGGAUUUCAGAUAGCCCAGACAGGCCUUCUGAAUGGCUCUGUGGCCGAGAAUGGUUUGAGCUUCUGCUCCUCCUUUGUUCACAUCUCUAAGGUGAUGAUAUUACAUGAGUAUCACCACCUGACGUCAUAAACCUUUUUGGACAUAUAUACAAUGGAAUUGUAUCCACUGUAAAGAAGAAAAGAGUUUUCUUCUGGACAUUUUCAGGAUAAUGGGUGAAAUGAAAUCAUCAUACUAAGCUAAACAAGCCAGACCCAGAAAGGCAAGUAUUGUAUAUUCACUCUCAUAUGCAAUCUAGAUUUAGUUUUAUACAUAUACAUACAUAUGUACUGAAGACAUGAAAGCACAAAGGGGCCAGAGAGUGGAGGAGGAGGGAAGCUGGAGGAUGGGAGAGAAUGACUGAAUAUAUAUCACAGGAGAGCAGAUGUGCCACGUGGAGGAAGGCGUGGAGCAGCCAGACCAGCCAACCAGCCGUGGGCAAGAGGCUGGGGAAGGAGGGUGGUGGCUAAUUAAGAACAAAGCAUGAUAUUUCUACAUGAAAAUGGUGUUUAAAGUCACUGUUUUGUAUGCUAUCUAAAAAACCUUACCAAUCCCAGCACUUGGGAGGCAGAGGCAGGUGGAUUUCUGAGUUCGAGGCCAGCCUGGUCUACAGAGUGAGUUCCAGAACAGCCAGGGCUACACAGAAAAACCCUGUCUUGAAAAAAAAAAAAAAAUCAAACCAAACCAAAACAAAACAAACAAAAAACCUUACCCAUUAAAAAAAAAAAACCCAUAAUAUGAAAAUUUAAAUCCAGGUUCUCUACCCUACACCAAACUAUGUUUCUGUUAUGUGACUGUAUUCUGAGAACAACCAAAUAAACACUGCAAUCUUUGGAGACCUCAAAGCAUUUGGAGAAAUCUAAAUUCAGGAUUAAAAUAAUUACAGUAAUUACAAAAAUCAUAACAUACCGGGCAUGAUGGCCCAUGCCUUUAAUCCUAGCACUGGGGAGGCAGAGGCAGGCAGACCUCUGAGUUCAAGGCCAGUCUAGUCUAGAGUGCAAGUUUCAGGGCUACACAGAGAAAAAGCAAAGUAAAACAAGACAAAACAAAAAUACCACAACAUAAAAUCUUAAUCUUUAAUUUUAUUUUGAGAUGUGGGCCUCAUUAUGCGUCCUAGGCUGGUCUCAAAAUCCUGGGCUCAAGCAAUCCUCCUGCCUCAGCUCUUUCUGUAGCCAUGACCAUGGAUGGACGCCAUGGCACCGGGGUUUGUGGUGCUGGGGAUUGAACCCAGGGCUUUGUGCUUGCUAGGCAAGUGCUCUCCCUUCACCCUCAAC